CAAAAAAAAAAAAAAUAUUGAUUGCUGCAAAUAAUCGAGCCGAACAAACUCAAUUGAGCAUACAUAUAUUUUAAUAGUAGAUACUUAUGUCCUUCCACUGCAAUGAAACCUGUGAUAUCGACUUCGAAGUCCAGAAUACCUAUUUUAUAGUUUUUUGGUUGGAUUUAAUUGAUAUCUACCAGGUUACUAACUUUUUUCUUUCUUUCCUUCCACUCUGAAGGCAUAUUUUCGUUCCCCACACAGAAAUGUGCCUUUAUUUUAUAAUUAAUUUUGCAAUUUUUUUGUUUUCUCAAUUUGGUUUUUACUUAAUUCCCUUUAAAUAUCUGUAAAAUUGUCUACUUUCUGAAGAUCGCCGAAAGGUGAAAGUUUGUUCGUUUUUUAAAUGUGAGAAUUUUUGUUUUUGUUAAAAUUUGGUUGAAAUUCAAGAUUUCACAAUCAUGAAAAUAUACAUAUGUAUCGAAUAUCCUCCUGGACUUCGAAAUCUAAGAUCUCAUUUAAGUGGAAAUGUACUACAAAAUUCAUUUGGCUUUGUCUCUCUUCCCACUUUUUUUAUGAAAGUUGUAUUUAAUUUGUGUGGGUCACACAUCUUUUAUCUACCUGAAUCUGUUCAGCUAAACAUUUAUGGCCUUAUUCACAAAUAAUAAAGUAGGUUUAAAGAGCUUUAUAUUAUUAUUUUAAACUAAAGUUUUCAUAAAUUUUUCAAUUUGUAAACCGUUUUUAAAGCUACUUUAUUUUUUUUGAAUAAGGUUAUUAGAAUUCACGUAAAUAUUAGACGAAAAUCGGGUAUUGUGGUAUAGGAGGCAAAUGUGGCAAGUAGUAUCUCCCAUUCCUAAUAGUCUCGACUGCCUCUUAAAUUUAGUUUCCCUUUAAACAUAUCGACUGCUUUAUCGAUCACAUGCAUACGACAGAUAGCCGAUAAAGCAGAGGUAAACACUGUUCUGAAUACUAAAAUACUAUUUCAAAGGCCUUUGAGUCGCGUGGUGAGAAAAAUAGAUCGAAAACUAAUAAUCCAAUAAUUUUUGUUUCAAAAAUAUGUACCAAAGAUAAGGGUUUUUAUUCAAAAUUAAUGUUUUAAAAAAGACAGAAAACAAAUACAUAGUAUGUAUAUUUAAUGUUGAAUUAACUUACAGCUGCUAAUAAUAGAGUUGAGUUGAGGGUUUAAGAUCACUGUUUUACAUAAUUAAAAUAAUUUGUCAUAAGUAUAGCACUCGAUUUUAGCCUUUCUCUACCAUAAUUUUAUGUAACUGCAUGUAGUUUGGCCAUGUCUAUUAUUAGUUAAAUUUUACUUCUUAUUGAAUUCUACUUAACUUUUAAGAUACAUUUUUUUAAUAUUAUUUCUGUGUGCACAGUGGUCGUUUCGAAAAUUUAACUAGAAUUUUUCUUUCGGAAGUACGUAGAGUUGCAGUGAGAUUAAUGGGUAAAUCAGAUCAAAACGUCAUCGAAGCGUCACGUAGACAGAAAUUAAUCAGCGGUUUUACAUAUUCUACUUAAACAUUUGAAAAUGUUAUUGAACGAUCAUUUUUCGUCAUCGCUUGUCAAAUUUGUUUGGAUACAAACCGGUUUCGCCGUUGUACCAUCUUCAGUGUCGAAACCGGUUUGUCUCCGAACCAAAUUUGACAAGAGAUGACGGAAAAUCGUUCCACAAUAAAUCGAACUCUUACCCUGUCUGGCACAUCAACGACGAAAAUGAAAAGGUUAUUGGACCUUCUAAAGAAAUUUCGCUCGCGGAAAUGAAAUGCCUCGAAUAUCGAAACUCCGUUUCUUAAUACAUCCGGGAGUCCCGUCAGACGAGACAAUGCAAGCAGCUUCGAAAUGUGGCUCAAACUCAUAAAUUUCGUUGCAUAUAAGUCGUUUCUUGAAAGCAGGGUUCGAAUCAUCACAUCCGAUAUCGUACAACUCGUCACGUAAAAAUACAUUUUUCGGAUUAUGACAUACGUGAUCGUACACUUUGUCCCAUUUAGCUUAUACUGACCAACGUAUCACGUAAUUUUCUUUCGUACCUUGUUCGAUCCGUGAACCGAUGUUACGAUUCCAGUCCAGUUUUUAAUUUACGAAAAGUUGAAGUUGUUAUUUCAUACAGAGAUUUCUUUAUUAUCUCGCAAAAAUUUGUCACGCGGCAACACUCUUUUGGUUUGGCAGCGCUUUGAGUGAAAAUUUCAAAUACAACAAAACACAUUUUGAACAAGUAAUCAACACUAACAAACCCACCCAUAACGCUGCAAUAUCGGUACGGUAAUGUGGCCAAUUUUAUAUCACCUAAUUCGGAGUAAAUUUCUUAGUUUUUUACAUAACCUCAUUGCUCCAAACUACGUAUUUGGCCAAAGUGACUUGUCCUACGAGUAUCAACAUGCCGUUACCCUAAUAUAAAAAGGCCCUAUCUUAGGUUAUCCUUUUUAUUGAGUAAUUUUAAAACCUUAUAAAAACUAAAGUUCUUCAGUUGCGAGUUUCUUCAUUCCACUGGUUUUCUUAAUAAACACAGAAACUCAGUUUUUGAGGUAGAAGUUGAUUUUAAAUUCUAUCAAGUCUUUAUAUAGUAAUCUACCGACUUUUUAACCGAGCUACAAUUUAAAAUAAAAUAAGUAAGAGCCUUUCUGUAUUGGACGCGUUUGGGCAGCACUCGUUGAUCAGUUUAACUUUGAGGUCAGGUGUUGGCUCUCUGCGUGCGUGACAAGCAGCUUGGUGUCUAAGUUUUAUGCCACCGCUUUUCUACUUUUUGGGGCUGCAAAUCCAUUUUGAGGCUAUGUCACCCCACUUUGAGGUUAUGUCAGACGCAAUGGCGUGAAAUGAACCCUACAUUCAUUUUAAGGUAUCCCAAAAAUACAUCGAAAUUAUCACCUACAUACAUGCCUCCGCGUGUCAUAGCAAAGAUUUUUUUGUGUGGCUUUAUAAUUUUAUGGCUUUUCCCAACCGUUCUGAUUUCGCUGCAACUCACUACUCUCUCAGAUCAUCUGAUGACAAAAUGUACAAACUUUGGAGGGACCCAGUGCACUCAACGCGCGUUUAAGAGAAAAUAUGCGUUUUUGGGCAUAGUAAAUUUUAGUUUAUUAGCACGAAUUAAACUUUAUAUUGUUUGAGGAAUAAAAAUUAAAAAGAAAAACGUUUGCGAAAACCUUAGAAAUUGGUUUAGGUGUUUUUCUUUUUCUGUCGAGGAGGUGCACCCAUAGUAUAUUUACGUUAAUAUUAGAAUUAUUCGAUCAGUGCACAUACAUAUGCAUCUACUGCAUACACACAGAAGUAACCGAAAAUACGGCUAACUUUCCCAGGGUUUCUCGGAUCUGCAAUUUCGUUAGUUUUCAUUUAAAUAUAUGCAUGUGUACGUAUUUGCAUUAUGCACUUGCCAUGCCAUGUCCUUUUAAAAAUACAUACAUGCAUACAUACAUACAUACAUACAUCCUCAAUGCUGCAUUGCCGCACAUUUGUUCAUUUUAUAAGCUUUCUCAUUUUCCCUGUCGCUGCACCCUUUGGAAGAGAAUUUCAAUACUAAACAGUUUCGUUAAAGCAUUUAAAUAUUAAUUGAAAGAUUCUGGAAACUGCAAAAUUAAAACGUCAGACCUAGACAUUUGUAAGUAUAUACAGAUGAGAUCAACUAA